AGCAGGAAGUAGUGUUCUGUCUUUUAACUCUUUUAAAAGACCUGUCCUGCAUUUUUUCUAUGCCCAAGCUGGUUCCAGUUUACUGAUCCUGCCUAAGCUUUAAUACUAUUUUUUGAAUUCCUGGUUUUUGACUCUUUUGCCUGAAUAUUCUCAAAUACGAUUUCUGCCGCCUGCCUUGAACCUUUUGCCAAACUUCGACUACUUUUUUUCUUCAACCCUGCCGGUAUCUCGCUUACGAUUUUUUCCACACACUUCCUUGUUGGAUUCCGCAGCAGAAAGCCCGGGGCCCCAAAAGGGCGUCUGUGAACACAGGGUUCACCUGUGCGUCCGCAAGGAUCCUGUGCAGUGUGUGUGUGUGGGAAAAAUCUUCUGGGUGGUAUUCAAAUGUACUUACCUGCCAGCCACUAACAGUCUACUAGUUUCAUGCAGAGGUGGCAAGUUACAAUAUAACAGGCUGUUACCCCAUAACUUGUAGCAUCUGUACACCCAGAAAUAGAAAAAGAAAUUUGGAUUAUUUGAAUAUAAUGGAGAAUAAUAUUGGUUUCCUCCCAUAUUCAAAAAGCAUACAGUCAAGCUGGAUGGUCAGAUCUUCAGGAAAAGACACCUCCUUUGUUUUGUCUUUCAACGUUAAGCCCUUCAUCUUCAAAUGGCAGACAGCAACUCCAACUUCUCUGAGAGAUCUGUCCACACUCAGGUAGCACAGUGUCCUGCUCAAAGAGAUCUUCCUUACAUUCUCAUCAGAAUUAAAAACCUUUUCACAGGACAAUGUCACUGUGCAAUGUGAGCUGGACCAGUGGAAUGGAGUGUCUGCCUGUUCUUUCAAAACACUCCAGCUCUCCAGGACAUGACAGCAAAAUUCUUUGAACAGAAGAAACAUUUUCUGUUUAACAGCACAUUCUCUAUAACUUAUCCUACUGGGCAGAGAUUAAAGGCAAAAAAAUGUUUCCACUGUUUCCUUUGGUCACUUGAUCACAUACAUGACUUUACAAGGAUUUUUUUACCAUUUAGGCAGUUUUUACUUGGACAAAAAGGCUGGAACUGAUGGAUGUAUCAGUGACCUCACUUGCUAUGUUACUAUGGAAUAAUUACAUAUGUAACCUGAUAUUAGGCCUUAAUGGUGGCCUAUUUAUCCAUAGGAGCUCUAUGAAAGCAACGCUAGGAUUGAAUUUAUACAAUGUUGUCAAGCAGUGCUGCUUGACAAACACUCAACUUUGCACAGC